rnacentral:lncRNA from 1 species
UGUGAAGACGUGCCUUCUGCCAUGAUUGUAAGUUUCCUGAGGGCUCCCCAGCCAUGCAGAACUUCUCCCUCUUUCUCUUGUGUGCACCAUGUUGUGCCUGUUUCUGUUGUUUUUGACAUGUGCUUAAUCAACCAUCAGAGUAAUUCUCCACUGACUCUCUCCAGCCACUGGACUACAAAGAGAAUAUGUUAUUACAGAAAUCCAUUCCAACCAAGGGGAAUUUGAAGGAAGGAUACAGGAAUUUCGCUUAGAAUGCAAGAACACGAUAACCUGCUCUGCGUGAGGGCUACAUGUUCCCAGCUGGUUGAAGAUCCUUGCUGACAGACUGCACAGUGAUGGAUAGCCACACACCCCUGUACUGCCAAGAUGGCCUAUAUGCUCCACGCCAUCCUUUGGGAGGAAGCAAAGUAGCAUUGCCAUGUCAGAAAACCUCGAAGUCAAGAAUAAUUUGAAAUGCUGCAUCGUUUUUAAUCCUGAGAGACAGAAUAAGUAAUUGAUUCUUUCCAGCUCACAAAUUUGUAGAACUAUUCCGACUCAGUUUCAAUGGAAAUUAAUGCUAGACUUGAUUAAUAUGUGUUGCUUUUGAAUUAUGUACUAUAAAACUCCUAAGGACAAAACAACUUUUUAUGAAGAAUUUAUAAGUCAUCUGUCUAUAAUACAAGUCAGGUGUGUCAUUCUUUCAAUUACCAAGAUGUUCUCCCUUUACCAAACUUUAGUUAGGCUCCUCCGAGUUCUCUUUUUAAUUAGACUUCAACCUUUGGACUUUCAUGUUCAUCUGUACAUCACUCAGUUUUAGCAAGAAUCUUGUCAAGUUGGUUUAGUUAGAAUCCCACCCCUAUAACUGAUCAUCCUCAAUAUCUGAUCAAAUUUUUCAGUCCCCAUCACCCCUUAGGUGAUAUCUGAUUAACCUGGCCUGCCUUCAGCCAGGAAUUCUGUUAGGUCAGUUUAGCAAGAAUUCCACCCCCACUCCUCAAUCCCCGCCUUAUCUCUGAUGUUUCCAUCUUCUGGCCCCUCCUCUGCUUCUUAGUUAUAAAUCCUCACUUGUCCACGCUGUAUUCAGAAUUGAGCCUAGUUCCAUACUGAGGUAUUUUCCCCCUAUUGAAAUAGGUCCUGAAUACAAUAUAUUGUAACUGCUUUAAAUACUGUCUGCUUCUGGAUUUCUUUGUUGAAAUAAAACCAAAUUGUC